rnacentral:rRNA from 1 species
AGUGAACGCUGGCGGUAGGCCUAACACAUGCAAGUCGAACGGCAGCACAGUAAGAGCUUGCUCUUACGGGUGGCGAGUGGCGGACGGGUGAGGAAUACAUCGGAAUCUACUUUUUCGUGGGGGAUAACGUAGGGAAACUUACGCUAAUACCGCAUACGACCUACGGGUGAAAGCAGGGGAUCUUCGGACCUUGCGCGAUUGAAUGAGCCGAUGUCGGAUUAGCUAGUUGGCGGGGUAACGGCCCACCAAGGCGACGAUCCGUAGCUGGUCUGAGAGGAUGAUCAGCCACACUGGAACUGAGACACGGUCCAGACUCCUACGGGAGGCAGCAGUGGGGAAUAUUGGACAAAGGGCGCAAGCCUGAUCCAGCCAUACCGCGUGGGUGAAGAAGGCCUUCGGGUUGUAAAGCCCUUUUGUUGGGAAAGAAAAGCAGCAGGUUAAUACCCCGCUGUUCUGACGGUACCCAAAGAAUAAGCACCGGCUAACUUCGUG